rnacentral:miRNA from 1 species
UGUUUGUAUAGUGUGUGUAUAUAAUGCAGUGUGUUUGUGUAGUGUGCAUUAUAUUGUGCACUACACAGACACACUGCAUUAUAUACACACACUAUGCAAAC